CUACGGGGGGCAGCAGUGAGGAAUAUUGGGCAAUGGACGCAAGUCUGACCCAGCAACGCCGCGUGGAGGAUGAAUGUCGUAAGAUUGUAAACUCCUUUUGGAGGGGACGAAAAAAAGGGUUUGUAGCCCUUAUUGACUGUACCCUCAGAAGAAGCCCCGGCUAACUACGUGCCAGCAGCCGCGGUAAUACGCAGGGGGCAAGCGUUGUCCGGAUUUACUGGGUGUAAAGGGCGCGUAGGCGGGUGUGUAAGUCAGAGGUGAAAUCCUGCGGCUCAACCGUAGAACUGCCUUUGAUACUGCAAGCCUUGAGUUCAGAAGAGAGUGACGGAAUUCCAGGUGUAGUGGUGACAUACGUAGAUAUCUGGAAGAACACCAGUGGCGAAGGCGGUCACUUGGUCUGUAACUGACGCUGAGGCGCGAAAGCGUGGGGAGCGAACAGGAUUAGAUACCCUCGUAGUC
rnacentral:rRNA from 1 species